GUGAAUUUGAGCGAAUUUAUGGAGGCAGUGAGGAUUGUCCAGAAAUUGCUCCCAGGGGAAGAGGACAACGUGGCUGUGGGGAACCUGGACUCCAUCCUGGCCAACAUGGGGAUCCAUUUAACCCCGGAGGAGCUGCAGGAGGUGCUCAAGCACUGCCCCGUUGACACAGACGGCAAAGUCAGCCUGAGUGCUUUUGUGAAGAGCAUGAUGAGUACGCAGAGACCCUCCCAGGCGCAGAGAGACAAUGUUGAUAUCCAGAACCUGGACUAUAUCUUGGACAGCAUGGGGGUCCAUUUAACCAAUGAAGAGCUACAAGAGGUGCUGAAACAUGUGACCGUUGAUGGUG
rnacentral:lncRNA from 1 species